rnacentral:rRNA from 1 species
CAGUCGCCACGGUAACACGGAGGGUGCAAGCGUUAAUCGGAAUUACUGGGCGUAAAGCGCACGCAGGCGGUCUGACAAGUCAGAUGUGAAAUCCCCGGGCUUAACCUGGGAACUGCAUAUGAAACUGUCAGGCUGGAGUCUUGUAGAGGGGGGUGGAAUUCCAGGUGUAGCGGUGAAAUGCGUAGAGAUCUGGAGGAAUACCGGUGGCGAAGGCGGCCCCCUGGACAAAGACUGACGCUCAGGUGCGAAAGCGUGGGGAGCAAACAGGAUUAGAUACCCCGGUAGUCCCUGUCUCUUAUAC